GGGGCUUGGGGAGGCGCAAGGCGAUUGGAGGCUCAGGGAGGUGGUUGAGGGCGACGUGGGAUCCGAUGGUCGAGGGCUCGAAGAAGCGGGAUCCGACGAUUGAGGGCUUGGGGAGAUAGGAUCUGAUGGUGGGGGAAAGAGGAAGACCGAAGGUGGGGUAAAGAGAGGGGCGACAGGGGGACCGGAGGUGGGGGAAGAGGAGGGGAAGAGGGAAAGUGAAAAGUUAGAAAUUGGAUAGGGGGUGAAAUAGAGAUAG
rnacentral:lncRNA from 1 species